CGAUUUUAUUACGCCAGGGAAGCACCUAUAAAGUAACGAAGUGAAACCGUUGAAGUAAAGUUGAUAGAAGCCAGCAUGUCUGUUUCAGUGUACACGAAUAUGGGACAGUUCAGUUGUCAUAGCAUGCCGAACCACGAGAGCCAUAGCCAGUCAACUUCACUCCGCUCUCGUUCAGCUCCUAUUCGGACCAGCAGUGAUAUUCCUGGCUUUUGCAAUACGAUUGCGUACUAUUCCGUAUACCCGCCAUCCGCGCCGCUGUAUCUUCUAUCAAUAUCUAGCUUAUCACAUGAAGAUAGUGGUUUUGAACAGCAAUCAAAAAUAAUGAAUGACGAAGCCAAAAGAAUAGCUCAACGUGUGUUACGUUUGGUUCUAAAGUCGGUUGUUCGUAAAGCUGUGGCGCACACGUCUGCUAAGACCGUCUCCGUCGGGUCCUCCGUCCAAGUCCUGAGCCAAAGCAUUGCUAUACAAACCAGUCAUAAAGCUGCCA